GUGGUCAGAAUCGCUUGUAUCUGAAGUGUAAUAAACUUGAGGACACCUGUAAAUGGGUAUCGAAGAACUUUUUCUUAGGGGGAUGGGGUCGGUCGGAUGAUGAGAAACGAGACAUUCCAGGAGAUGGCCAAAGAGCCUUGUCAUCUGGACACGGUACAUAGCGGUGAACACUGAUGAAUCGUUACUCGUGUUACCGUUCCACACGAUUAAUGUGAGGCCAACCGAGUACUUAAAAGGGGCUCAAAAAGUAUGGCAUAGCCUUAAUGGUGUCGUCACAAUUUAUUCCAGGCUCCGGUCCAAAGACUUCCAUUAAUCUGUGUCAAAACAAGGACUUUUUGUACUAAUUCUAAGAAAGUGAGGCCGCGAGCGGACUGGAUCUGAGAAGUUUGCGAUCCGUCGCUUUCGCUUUUGCCUUUCGUCCCCUUGGCUGAGUGGUAACCGGGAUACAGCUUGGCGAUUUGAAUGGACACGCGAUGAAAGCUAUAAACGCCUUACUUUUCAUUUUAACAAUUCAACAAGGUUAUGACGCCCAAAUUAUCCGGGUAUCUUCAGACCCAGUCAGAGCAUUUGAAGGGUCUGANUUGUAUUGUU
rnacentral:misc_RNA from 1 species